rnacentral:rRNA from 1 species
GCAUAUCAAUAAGCGGAGGAAAAGAAACCAACAGGGAUUGCUCUAGUAACGGCGAGUGAAGCAGCAGUAGCUCAAAUUUGAAAUCUGGCGUCUUCGACGUCCGAGUUGUAAUUUGUAGAGGAUGCUUCUGAGUGGCCACCGACCUAAGUUCCUUGGAACAGGACGUCAUAGAGGGUGAGAAUCCCGUAUGCGGUCGGAAAGGCGCUCUAUACGUAGCUCCUUCGACGAGUCGAGUUGUUUGGGAAUGCAGCUCUAAAUGGGAGGUACAUUUCUUCUAAAGCUAAAUAUUGGCCAGAGACCGGUAGCGCACAAGUAGAGUGAUCGAAAGAUGAAAAGCACUUUGGAAAGAGAGUCAAACAGCACGUGAAAUUGUUGAAAGGGAAGCGCUUGCAGCCAGACUUGCCUGCAGUUGCUCAUCCGGGCUUUUGCCCGGUGCACUCUUCUGCAGGCAGGCCAGCAUCAGUUUGGGCGGUAGGAUAAAGGUCUCUGUCACGUACCUCUCUUCGGGGAGGCCUUAUAGGGGAGGCGACAUACUACCAGCCUGGACUGAGGUCCGCGCAUCUGCUAGGAUGCUGGCGUAAUGGCUGUAAGCGGCCCGUCUUGAAACACGGACC